GACGAACGCUGGCGGCGUGCCUAACACAUGCAAGUCGAGCGGAGCUAGUAGCAAUAUUAGCUUAGCGGCGGACGGGUGAGUAACGCGUGGGCAACCUGCCUUCUACAGGGGAUAACACAGGGAAACUUGUGCUAAUACCGCAUAACAUACUUAAGGGACAUCCCUUGGGUAUCAAAGGAGCAAUCCGGUAGAAGAUGGGCCCGCGUCCGAUUAGCUAGUUGGAGGUGUAACGGACCACCAAGGCGACGAUCGGUAGCCGAACUGAGAGGUUGAUCGGCCACAUUGGGACUGAGACACGGCCCAGACUCCUACGGGAGGCAGCAGUGGGGAAUAUUGCGCAAUGGGGGAAACCCUGACGCAGCAACGCCGCGUGAAGGAUGAAGGUCUUCGGAUUGUAAACUUCUUUAGUCGGGGACGAAGAAAUGACGGUACCCGAAGAAUAAGCCACGGCUAACUACGUGCCAGCCGCCGCGGUAAAAC
rnacentral:rRNA from 1 species